rnacentral:misc_RNA from 1 species
GAUGAAGAACGUAGUGAAAUGCGAUAAGUAAUGUGAAUUGCAGAAUUCAGUGAAUCAUCGAAUCUUUGAACGCACAUUGCGCCCGUCAGUAUUCUGGCGGGCAUGCCUGUUCGAGCGUCAUUACGCCCCUCAAGUCCCCUGUGGACUUGGUGUUGGGGAUCGGCGAGGCUGGUUUUCCAGCACAGCCGUCCCUUAAAUUAAUUGGCGGUCUCGCCGUGGCCCUCCUCUGCGCAGUAGUAAAACACUCGCAACAGGAGCCCGGCGCGGUCCACUGCCGUAAAACCCCCCAACUUUUUAUAGUUGACCUCGAAUCAGGUAGGACUACCCGCUGAACUAAAGCAUAUCAAUAAGCGGAGGA